rnacentral:rRNA from 1 species
UACGGGGGGGGCAAGCGUUGUUCGGAAUUACUAGGCGUAAAGGGCUCGUAGGCGGCCAACUAAGUCAGACGUGAAAUCCCUAGGCUCAACCUAGGAACUGCGUCUGAUACUGGAUGGCUUGAAUCCGGGAGAGGGAUGCAGAAUUCCAGGUGUAGCGGUGAAAUGCGUAGAUAUCUGGAGGAAUACCGGUGGCGAAGGCGGCAUCCUGGACCGGCAUUGACGCUGAGGAGCGAAAGCCAGGGGAGCAAACGGG